UGAAAUUCUUCCACAAAAUGCAUUCCUGGUC
rnacentral:piRNA from 1 species